CCUUUCUCUUAUCUCUCUCGAGGUUAACGGCGAAUCCAUCGUCGAUUCACCUUAAAUGCAGAAAAAUCGAUUAAACUCGAGGGUUUUGGUAUAUGACACCGAUUUGUUUUCGACUUCCAAUCACAAUUACUGUCAUAUCUCGUUCGCUUCUGUUCUCAAGAUCCUGAAUUUUCUCCAAACUUUCAUCGGUGUAUCGAUCAUAAUCUACUCGAUUUGGAUGCUCGAUCAAUAUAACCAUCACCUUCCCGCCGUUGAACCUCCUCCGUCUCAGCCUCCGGCGGCUUCAUCUCCGGUUUCUUCUUCUUAUAAUACCUUCUCUUAUACUUCAGGAAUUGAGAUCAACGAAAGGAGUUAGCACUGAUCUGAAGCUGUUGUUGGAGCUCUGAAUGGAGGACGAGAGCUUGCUGCUACUGCACUCAAUGCACCUAUGGUUUCUCCUGAGGACGAGUAUGAUGUUAAGGACGAGGUAGGGAAAUAACAAUGUGGGCACAGGUUCUUGUUCUCUUUGGCAAAAAAAUGCAGAACAAACACAAAUGCAAGCUCUGUUCCAAGAGUUUCUGUAAUGGCAGAGCACUUGGUGGUGGUCACAUGAAGUCUCACUUGGUCUCAUCCCAACCGUCCACUCGGAAGAAACUCGCUGACUCGGUCCAUUCAUCUUCUUGCUCUUCCUCCGACGGUAAAUCUCUCAUCCCAAUCCUGGACAUGUUCUCAUCCAUAAAAAUAGAGUUCUCUCUUGGAAUGAACUCAUAAAUCUCAGUCAAUAAAUCUCAUCCUGCAAUUUCUUGAGAUGUGAGUCUAACUACUUAUUCUCGUGAUCUCCUCUCCUGUAUAUUUAUUCAUAUUAUGUAACAACCAUCUGAUCUUGUUUCUUAAUUUUAAUCAGCAUUUUGCUGAUAAGAGAUAUGUUAAUGGUUGCUAGUAGUGAGUUUUCAAGCUACUAGUGUGUUCUGUUUUUAACAAGAUGGUUGAGCAGGGGUUCUGUUCUAGUUCCUGUUGUUUAAACAGGUUAUUGUGGUGAGUCUACAAUGGUAUAAUCUGUUAGUGAGAUUCACUACAAGUUGAAUCAAAGUGCUUCAGGUUAGAAGCCAAGAUGAUUCUGUUCUUUCUGCAUAUGAUUCAAGUAAAUUGAAGAUGAGGUCGUGAGAGAGAGUUGGAACCAUAUGGAGCCGCAUUAUGUAGCACACAAUGUAGCUAGAAGGGUGAGCGAAAACAUGUAAUAGCUUUAGCUUUGGGGAGUGUUUUUUUCAUUAGAACAUAGGUUGAUACAAAGAGUGUUCAUGAGUGAGUGAUGAGUGAGACACUUGUAAUUUGUAUCUGUGUUUCUUCUUAUAGUGGAUUCCGAGCAAGAGUCUCGGCGAGAUGUAGGUGGUGUCACAUUGACACUACUGAACUUGUUAAAUGUGUGUGCUCCCAUCUUCUUCUCUA